rnacentral:rRNA from 1 species
GGGUUGUGAGGUUAAGCGACCAAGCGUACACGGUGGAUGCCCUGGCAGUCAGAGGCGAUGAAGGACGUGCUAAUCUGCGAAAAGCGCCGGUAAGGUGAUAUGAACCGUUAUAACCGGCGAUGUCCGAAUGGGGAAACCCAGUGUGACUCGUCACACUAUCAUUAACUGAAUCCAUAGGUUAAUGAGGCGAACCGGGGGAACUGAAACAUCUAAGUACCCCGAGGAAAAGAAAUCAACCGAGAUUCCCCCAGUAGCGGCGAGCGAACGGGGAGGAGCCCAGAGCCUGAAUCAGCAUGUGUGUUAGUGGAAGCGUCUGGAAAGGCGCGCGAUACAGGGUGAGAGCCCCGUACACAAAAGCGCACAUGCUGUGAGCUCGAUGAGUAGGGCGGGACACGUGGUAUCCUGUCUGAAUAUGGGGGGACCAUCCUCCAAGGCUAAAUACUCCUGACUGACCGAUAGUGAACCAGUACCGUGAGGGAAAGGCGAAAAGAACCCCGGCGAGGGGAGUGAAACAGAACCUGAAACCGUGUACGUACAAGCAGUGGGAGCCCCACCACUAAGCCAGUGGUGAACUCCACAUACGCAUCCUUUGCGGAAGAUGCGGUUAACGGAGCGAAAGCGACGUUCAACCUCAGAAGAAGCAGAGGGGGCUUAGUGGUGGGGUGACUGCGUACCUUUUGUAUA